ensembl:lncRNA
GAGAUGCCAAGGGGUUAUUAUCUAGAGAGGUGAACAUAAACAUAGAGAAUUACCUCAUAAUGGAAGGAAGUGUGUGUAGGGCUCUGUCAGUGACAUAGAGAGUGGAAGUUCAGAGAAAGGAGAGAAUAUUGUGAACUAAGCAGCCAGGAAAGGCAUUGGAGCAGCCAGGAAAGGCUGAGACUUGAAAGAUGCUAGGAUAGCAUGAGUCAAGAGGAGAGAGAAAUGCUCAAUGCCCACUGUGAGAAGAUAGCCUUUCCCAGUUGGCAUUGGAGAGUAGUGGGACAUCAUACCAUGGUGACAAGGGUAAUCUACCCUUCAGAGUCCCAACUAUCGUCAAAGGAUGACACUGCCACCAUAUGGCUCUCUAGGCACUCCCACACAAUGGACUCUGAGACUGACUGCAUUUUCCAAAAAUAGACACAGCAAUAUUUCUGGUCCCACGUGCUGUUCCAGAACGCUGCCUCUGCCUCAACCAAGAAGUGGAUUUUAUUUCCCCUUCCCUUGAAUUUGAGUGGGACUUCCUUUGUGGGGGCCUCAGUGAAGACACUGCAGUGGAAACAAUGCUGGGUGACUUCAGAGGUUAGGUCAUAAAUAUGACAUGGCUUCCGUCCAUCACUCUCUCUCAGAACACUCACCAUUGGAACUCAGCCGCCAUGUUGUAAGGAAGCCUCAUGUAGAGUUCCAGCAGACAAGCCUAGCUCAGGUACCAGCCAACAGCCAGCGUGAAUCACCAGACAGGUGAAUGAAGACUCCUUUCAGAAGAUUCCAUCCCCAGCCUUUGAAGUGCCCCAGCUGACAGUGAGCAGAGCAGAGACAAGCUAUCCCUGUAAGCUUUGCGUGAACUGCAGAUUCAUGAGAAAAAUAGGUCUCCAGCCUGCCAACCCACUUUGCAGAUUUUGGACUUGCCAAGCCUCCAUAAUCACGUCGUCAGGCUGCCCACACUGGAAUAUCCACUAUGGAGCAUCCAUUCCAUAAGAGCUGAGCUCCUGUCCAUCUCGGUCCCGACUGCAUCCCGACUGAUCCUUGGGACAAUGCCUGGAUCCCCUACGUGGCCGGCAGCAGUACAGAAUGAUAAACUCCUAGUGAAGGGAAGCUGAUCUCCCCAAAAUGCAGAUGCGUUUACCCUUUGAUGCAGCGACCCCACUUCUGGGCAUUUCCUUUACAGAUUCAAUUGCACGUAUACGAUAACAUGUGCACAAAAGUAUUUACUGUGACUUUGUUUGUAUUAUAAUAACAAAAGGUUAUAAACAACCCACGCCCAUCAGUAGAAAAUGAGUUGAAUAAACUAUGGUACAUAUGGAAAUGGAAUGCUAUACAGCUGUUAAAAAUAUUGCAGAAGAUAUCUAUGUGCAGACAAGGACAGAUCCGGGGACAAAGAAUAUACAUAGAGUGCUUUCUAACACACAAAGUGAGAUUUAUAUAUUUAUAUUUGCUUAUAAAUAAAAAAUAAGGAACAAUAGCUACCAGUGGGGGAGUCUUCUUAGUUUAUAUCUUUUUAUCUAAUUUUGAACUUUGAGCUGUGUAAACGUAUUAUGUAUUGAAAAAAGAAUGGUGCCUGGCACAUGGCAGAUGCUCAGCUAAUUGUGUUGAAAGAAAGCAGGGAUUAGUGAAUGAACAUAUGACUUUGAUGAGAAAGACAAGUGACUAGACAUGUUGAGGCCGCCAUGGUAGCCCGCUGCGAGAGGAACUAACAGCUCCCUCAGCCUGGGGGGAUGAGAGUCACGCAUUACUCAGUGUGCUGAAGAGUGUCCCUAAGGGAGGACCUUAUGGUUAUAGGAGCAGGUCUGAGUCUACGGCUCUGCGUGCGGGUGGUCCUCAAGGUCAAGGUGAGUCUACUAGGCAGGCAUUCAUUCGUUAUUCGUUCAUCCACUCAAGAAAUCCUUGCUGGGUGUUACUUUGUGCAAGGUCGUGCACUGAGGGCUGUGGACAUCAGGAGAACUGGGCAGCUGUGAUCCCCGUCCUCUGGGAGCUCACAGUCCAAGGCACACAGGAGUCGAAGGUGUAUCCUGAGCCCGCACCCCUCCGUUUGGCUUUAGCCUGUCCCGCUCUCCUUUGGAUGAGUCUCCUGGGGACAGAGGGGUGGAAUAAAGAGGAAAUCAAAUACUAAUUUGCAGAAUUAUAGUGAAGUUGUGAGUACGGAGCAGAGGGAGUUUGUUACCCUGGAACAGGGCAUGCUAACUCAUGGGGGCCUGAACUUCCCACCUCUUUAACUCCUUUGUGGGCAAAAGAAACUUCUAGGUCAUUGGAACAGACUGGAAGGAAGCAUCCUGUUGGCAGUGUUGGGGUACUGUACGUGGCAGUAGGGAAACAGAGACUCGUGGUUUUCCUGGGGGCUCCUGAGCCUCCCAAGAGCCAGCAGACCCCACGGCAACGUGGAGAACACCCGCUGUUGUCAACAUUUACGAGGCGCACUCCACGUGGUCUUCUGCUUUGGGCGAAGGAAAGGGUUUUUGAGGGUCACCGUCCAGUGGUCUCUCCUGAUCUGGAAGCACAGAAAUGUAGUUUGUUAUGUUUAUUGUAAGCUGACCAAAUUCACAAGAUGAUAACCUGGAAAUGACCGGUGACAAAUGACUUAACCUUGUCCCUUCCCAAAAUGAAAGAAAUCUGUGCGCUCAGUUGAGAGCCGACCUUCUAUUAAAGAUGCAUGUUCGAGAUGCAUUUCAAAAUCGUGGCAGUAACCCUGAUCCGAUGGAAAGACUUCCUUGUGAUCUUGCCUCUGGAGUUCAUUUUUGGGAACAGAAUGAACCUGGAAGCAAAGCAAGAGUAUGAGUAUAAAAAGAUGGCGGAGGGACAGACUGUUCUUGGCACGAAAUUGCAGCCAUUUUAAUGAUUCAGUUAGAGCAAAUUUAAAUUAAUAACACCCCUUUCUAUCAUAAGUGUUUUGGUGACCCACAGCCCAAGGAAAUGAUCAAAAUCAAUGAUAGUAUUUCCAAGAGUAAUUUACAGUCUACAGUUUUCAGAUGCUUCAGUCCGUUUAUGCUUCACCAAAUCCCGUAAGGAGACACUACCCUCUCCGUUUAAUGAUGAGUCAAGAGUUCCGGGCCUCGCCCGGGGGGCACUGUGCUCACAGGUGAGGGAGGCAGAACUUGAAUUUGAUCCUUUUUGGCACUGGAGCUUCUGCACUUUCCACCACGCCACACGCGCAAUGUCAGCAUGGUACCUCUGCCUGGUGAGCCUCCUCACCUUCUGAUGACACUCACUCACUACAAAGGCCACCGUGUGUAUGGAGGUAGAACUUUGAACUUGACCUGCUGUAGAUGUGCCGGCCUCUGGGCAGCAGGAAGAGAGAAGUGAAAAGUGGCUGACCUUCUGCUCUUCUCAUCCUCGGCGUGAAGUCACCGCCGUUGUAAUCGUUCCAUCGAGCUCUCGCUAAUGGAGAAGAUGAGUGUCCCCAGGGCAGAGGCUGUCGCUGUCUCAUUGACUGUUGUGCACAUUGCCUAGACCACAGCUGGAUGCUGAAUGAGUAAAUAAACCCCCAGCACAUCCCAAAUGAUUUGGGAAGGAUAUGUUAGAAGAUUGGUGGUGGUUAUACAGAGUAUGGGGGAGAGGGAAGACCUAAAGAGACAGAUUUUUGAUGGCAUCCUGACUCUCUACUCUAACUCAUUCAAAAGUAGACUAAAGGGGCUAUCGUACUUUUUCCUCCAGCUUAAUGUGGCUUGGUAACCUAGAUAGCCAUGAACUCAGUUAACUUCAAAAUGAUGCUCAGAAAUAUGGUAUUUGGGAUAAAGAAACAAGCUCAGAGAGGUUAAAUGGUUUUCCCAAAGUCACACAGCUGGCGAACAGCUCAGCAAGCCUGACCCAGCGUCUUUGGACUAAACCCAGGGCUCAUUGCGUUAUUCUCGUUGCUUCUCCAUCAGGGACCCUUGAGACCAAACAUUAGAAUUCCUGGGAGCAGAGGAGGAGAAAGCAGAGGAGCCUGCCUCCAGAUCUUAUUCUUAGGCUGAAUAAUCUUCCGUUGUAUGUAUGGACUACAUUUUGCUCAUCCAUUCAUCUCUUGAUGGACAUCCGGGUUGCUUCCACUUUGGCCUAUUAGACAACAUUUUAUAUGCUUGACCUCAGUCAGAAUUCAAAUCUGGUGAACAGGAAGGAGGAAAUGGGAAGACCUGCGUGCUGAAUUAUCAUCUUUGGCGGAUAAAGUCAUCUGACUUUUGAGGCAGAACAAAUGAGUGGCAUGUCUAUCUCAUAAACACUGAAGAGAAGAGAAGGCUGCUCCAAUUUUAACGCUUUAUGCUUAGUGUUUUGGAAAUAGCAGCAAGACUGGAAGCACUGUGCUAAAAAUGGAGCUUCUGAGACAGCCCUCCUCUCCCUUAUUUCGCUUCCAGGAGAUAAGUAAGGGAGCGCAACGUUUCCCAAACGGGAAGCCCGUGAAAGAUGUGGAUCUGGUCAAUAAAUCUUUCAAGAGCUAUAUUUUAUUCAUGACUCCUACACAGUUUUCCUUAUAAAUCUACUCAACCUAUAUAUUUUUCCCCUGUUGCAAAUUCUAACACUAUGAAUAAAG